rnacentral:rRNA from 1 species
GGCUAAUACCGGAUAAUUCUUUUCUACACAUGUAGAAAAGCUGAAAGAUGGUUUCGGCUAUCACUCAUAGAUGGGCCCGCGGCGCAUUAGCUAGUUGGUGAGGUAACGGCUCACCAAGGCGACGAUGCGUAGCCGACCUGAGAGGGUGAUCGGCCACACUGGCACUGAGACACGGCCCAG